rnacentral:rRNA from 1 species
CCUACGGGUGGCAGCAGUGAGGAAUAUUGGUCAAUGGUCGGGAGACUGAACCAGCCAAGCCGCGUGAGGGAUGAAGGUACAGAGUAUCGUAAACCUCUUUUGUCAGGGAACAAAGGCGGGUACGCGUCCCCGGAUGAGUGUACCUGACGAAAAAGCAUCGGCUAACUCCGUGCCAGCAGCCGCGGUAAUACGGAGGAUGCGACCGUUAUCCGGAUUUAUUGGGUUAAAAGGGUGCGCAGUCGGUCUGUUAAGUCAGCGGUAAAAGCCCGGGGUUCAACCCCGGCCCGCCGUUGAAACUGGCAGUCUCGAGUUGGAGAGAAGUAUGCGGAAUGCGCGGUGUAGCGGUGAAAUGCAUAGAUAUCGCGCAGAACUCCGAUUGCGAAGGCAGCAUGCCGGAUCCACACUGACGCUGAGGCACGAAAGCGUGGGUAUCGAACAGGAUUAGAUACCCUUGUAGUC